GGCAACCUGCCUAUAAGACUGGGAUAACUUCGGGAAACCGGAGCUAAUACCGGAUACGUUCUUUUCUCGCAUGAGAGAAGAUGGAAAGACGGUUUACGCUGUCACUUAUAGAUGGGCCCGCGGCGCAUUAGCUAGUUGGUGAGGUAAUGGCUCACCAAGGCGACGAUGCGUAGCCGACCUGAGAGGGUGAUCGGCCACACUGGGACUGAGACACGGCCCAGACUCCUACGGGAGGCAGCAGUAGGGAAUCUUCCGCAAUGGACGAAAGUCUGACGGAGCAACGCCGCGUGAACGAAGAAGGCCUUCGGGUCGUAAAGUUCUGUUGUUAGGGAAGAACAAGUACCAGAGUAACUGCUGGUACCUUGACGGUACCUAACCAGAAAGCCACGGCUAACUACGUGCCAGCAGCCGCGGUAAUACGUAGGUGGCAAGCGUUGUCCGGAAUUAUUGGGCGUAAAGCGCGCGCAGGUGGUUCCUUAAGUCUGAUGUGAAAGCCCACGGCUCAACCGUGGAGGGUCAUUGGAAACUGGGGAACUUGAGUGCAGAAGAGGAAAGUGGAAUUCCAAGUGUAGCGGUGAAAUGCGUAGAGAUUUGGAGGAACACCAGUGGCGAAGGCGACUUUCUGGUCUGUAACUGACACUGAGGCGCGAAAGCGUGGGGAGCAAA
rnacentral:rRNA from 2 species